UGUUUCGGCAAGGGGGUCAUCCCGACUUACCAACCCGAUGCAAACUGCGAAUACCGGAGAAUGUUAUCACGGGAGACACACGGCGGGUGCUAACGUCCGUCGUGAAGAGGGAAACAACCCAGACCGCCAGCUAAGGUCCCAAAGUCAUGGUUAAGUGGGAAACGAUGUGGGAAGGCCCAGACAGCCAGGAUGUUGGCUUAGAAGCAGCCAUCAUUUAAAGAAAGCGUAAUAGCUCACUGGUCGAGUCGGCCUGCGCGGAAGAUGUAACGGGGCUAAACCAUGCACCGAAGCUGCGGCAGCGACGCUGAUGCGUUGUUGGGUAGGGGAGCGUUCUGUAAGCCUGUGAAGGUGUGCUGUGAGGCAUGCUGGAGGUAUCAGAAGUGCGAAUGCUGACAUAAGUAACGAUAAAGCGGGUGAAAAGCCCGCUCGCCGGAAGACCAAGGGUUCCUGUCCAACGUUAAUCGGGGCAGGGUGAGUCGACCCCUAAGGCGAGGCCGAAAGGCGUAGUCGAUGGGAAACAGGUUAAUAUUCCUGUACUUGGUGUUACUGCGAAGGGGGGACGGAGAAGGCUAUGUUGGCCGGGCGACGGUUGUCCCGGUUUAAGCGUGUAGGCUGGUUUUCCAGGCAAAUCCGGAAAAUCAAGGCUGAGGCGUGAUGACGAGGCACUACGGUGCUGAAGCAACAAAUGCCCUGCUUCCAGGAAAAGCCUCUAAGCAUCAGGUAACAUCAAAUCGUACCCCAAACCGACACAGGUGGUCAGGUAGAGAAUACCAAGGCGCUUGAGAGAACUCGGGUGAAGGAACUAGGCAAAAUGGUGCCGUAACUUCGGGAGAAGGCACGCUGAUAUGUAGGUGAAGUCCCUCGCGGAUGGAGCUGAAAUCAGUCGAAGAUACCAGCUGGCUGCAACUGUUUAUUAAAAACACAGCACUGUGCAAACACGAAAGUGGACGUAUACGGUGUGACGCCUGCCCGGUGC
rnacentral:rRNA from 1 species